AAACUGUGCCACUAUUUGUACCAUCAUUUUCACCAAAAUCUAAAAAUGCUUUUUAUGACGUAUGGAGACAUUCUUCAUGUUUGUUUCAGUGGACACUCCUUGCAGAUGUAAAAAACUGAGAAAACUCACUUUUGGAAAGUGACCUAAAGAGUGUCAUUGAAGUGAAUUUUAAGUAGGCACGAUGAUUGUUUUCAUGGUUGCUGUUGGAUCAUAUCUCAGGAGCUGGAAUGACAGACAUUAUUGAACAAAGAAAUCAGGAUAGUGGAACUUAAAGGGCUUCAUCUCAGUGCUUUCAUAAUUAUAGCUGAGGUGGUACCAGUUUAAGAAGUGAGAACUUCUUCACUGACUGAAAUUUGCAUAUCAAUCCAAAUCAUUGUGCUUAUUUACUAUUUUUGUAGACGUCAUUCUUCAAAAGUGCUGCAUCUUCAAUAGUCAAGGAGGACAAAGACAUCUUUCCUGCAGGUGGUGACCAUGUGGAUAAUAGGAUCAUAGACAAAUGGUGGUUCCAUCUACAGCAUCACCGAAAUGCUGUUGUUACUGCUUCUUUCUGGGAUCUUCUUGCAUCUUUGCUUCUAAAGGGGCACACCUUUUAUAGAAGUACGUCCAGGAAUAGAAGUGACCUGCUUUUUCGCAAGUAAUUGCCUGGAAUGUUUUUAUGUACUUCUCUGCACUCUCAAUACAUUUCAUGCUUCCCUCUAUUUUUGUAUAUUAACUCAUUGUAUUUCUUAAAUUUAUAUUUUACUUUAUGAAUGGAAGUGAGAUUUGUGUAUGGUAAAUAUAAUUAAUUCAACCCCAUGGAUACGUUAGUCACUGUCCAGAUGAUGGCAAGUCUUUCUCAGAAGCAGAGGGCCUUGGUGUGCCAGUGAUUUUUUUUCCCCAUGUGUAAGAUACUUUUUUUCCUCAUUUGAAUCAGGAGCCCACAGUUUUUAGACAAGUCCCAAAUGAAAUCUUAAGCAUUUGUGUUAUCUGGACUAGACCUUCUGUAGUAUCCUUUUUGUUAGACCUAGUAUAUCUCAUUGCAGAUCAGGAUCUGAGAUUGACUAUAGUUCACCUCUUUCCAAGUACACAAACUUGGAUGACAUGACAACUGAGUGUGUAAGGGAGAGCGAGACCCUUGCACUGCCAUUUGAGCCCUUGUGAUCUCAUCUUGUAGAACAUGUUGUACAAUCAUUUUAUUGGUAUCAUUAGUGUUAUUUGGGGCUGGAAUAAAAAUCUCAGUGCACCAAAGAGAUUUCCCCUUUAUCCACGUUACCCUGGUUUUCCUUUGUUUUCUGUUUAACCUAAACGGGCUUAAUAUAAAAUAGUGCUUAUUUGGUGUUUUAAUUGUCUGCUUCUAUAACAUAAGCUGCACUGUCCAUUG
rnacentral:lncRNA from 1 species